rnacentral:rRNA from 1 species
UAGGGAAUCUUCCACAAUGGACGCAAAUCUGAUGGAGCAACGCCGCGUGAGUGAAGAAGGUUUUCGGAUCGUAAAGCUCUGUUGUUGGUGAAGAAGGAUAGAGGCAGUAACUGGUCUUUAUUUGACGGUAAUCAACCAGAAAGUCACGGCUAACUACGUGCCAGCAGCCGCGGUAAUACGUAGGUGGCAAGCGUUGUCCGGAUUUAUUGGGCGUAAAGCGAGCGCAGGCGGAAUGAUAAGUCUGAUGUGAAAGCCCACGGCUCAACCGUGGAACUGCAUCGGAAACUGUCAUUCUUGAGUGCAGAAGAGGAGAGUGGAAUUCCAUGUGUAGCGGUGGAAUGCGUAGAUAUAUGGAAGAACACCAGUGGCGAAGGCGGCUCUCUGGUCUGCAACUGACGCUGAGGCUCGAAAGCAUGGGUAGCGAACAGG